CUUCAACCUAUAUAAUGAAACAUAAAUACGAUGUUUAAUUUAUUGCAAAUUUCAUGACUUCUAACAUUAAGUCCAAUAUAAGUAGUAUAACCUUUUUAGUUUAAGUGUGUUUGACCAACAAAAGAAGAAAGAUCAAAUUUUCAAUUAGGGUUUAACUAAUUCCUAGCUUCCUAAAUUAACUUCUUUUUUCUCCACGUUUAAUUCCUAAACUAUGUACUUCUGAUGCAUCUUUGAUUAUAUAAUUAUUAUAAGAACAGAUUGUAGUACAUAGAGAUUAGAGAGCUUACAGUUUCAGUUCCUGAAUCUUCU